rnacentral:rRNA from 1 species
GACGAACGCUGGCGGCGUGCUUAACACAUGCAAGUCGAACGGAAAGGCCCUGCUUUUGUUGGUUUCUCGAGUGGCGAACGGGUGAGUAACACGUGAGUAACCUGCCCUUUACUUUGUGAUAACUUCAGGAAACUUGUGCUAAUACCGGAUAGGAUCUCCUGCUGCAUUGUGUGGUUUGGAAAGUUUCGGCGGUUGGGGAUGGACUCGCGGCUUAUCAGCUUGUUGGUGGGGUAGUGGCUUACCAAGGCUUUGACGGGUAGCCGGCCUGAGAGGGUGACCGGAGACAAGGGGACUGAGAGAAGGACCAGAAUAGAACGGGAGGCAGCAGGGGGGAAUAGUGCAAAAUGGGAGGAAGGGUGAUGAAGAAAAGCAGCGAGCGGGAUGAAGGACUUAGGGUUGUAAAAAGAUGUAGAAUGUGAAGAAGAGUGAGUGACGGUAAUGGGUAAAGAAGCAACGGCUAACUACGUG